CAAGAUGUAGCUUAAUAAAGCGAUUCGCUUACACCGAAUAGAUGCCCGCUAAAACCGGGCCAUUUUGU
rnacentral:tRNA from 1 species